rnacentral:rRNA from 1 species
GACGAACCGUGCGAACGUUGUUCGGAAUCACUGGGCAUAAAGGGCGCGUAGGCGGCUCCAAAAGUCAGGGGUGAAAUCCGGCAGCUUAACUGUCGCAGUGCCUUUGAUACUGUGGAGCUAGAGGGAGGUAGGGGUCUGUGGAACUUCCGGUGGAGCGGUGAAAUGCGUUGAUAUCGGAAGGAACGCCGGUGGCGAAAGCGACGGACUGGAUCUCUUCUGACGCUGAGGCGCGAAAGCCAGGGGAGCAAACGGG